rnacentral:lncRNA from 1 species
UUAUUCUAAUUAAGGGAUAAUUUUAUAAAUGCCCUUCUAGGGACUAUGAAUUUCAUCAAUACCAUUCUAAAAGUGAUAAAAUCGUGAAUGCCCUUCGAUAUAUCAAAAAGUAUCAUAAAUAUCCUUCAUUAGUUAAGUUUCGUUACCAUUUUGUGAAAUGGAGUUAUAUUUUUAAAAUGCCAUUUUUACCCUUCAUCUCUUAUCAACAGUAGAAAUACUAAUAGAUAUUUCAAGAUAAUUUUUGUAAAUCUAAAUUUGAAUUAUUAAAUUAAAUUAUUAAAAAUUAUUAAAAAAUAUAUAAAAAUUGUAUUUUAUAUAUAGUGUGUUUUUAUAUGAUUUUGGUUUUGUUUUCUGGCUUUGGAUUUCGGUUCAGAUUUGGUUUGGAUAUAGACAAAAAUCAUAGCUGAGUUUGAAUAUAAUGAGAUUUCUAUUCGGUAUCGAUUAAGUUCACCUCAUUCAAAAUUGAGUUCAGAUAGAAUUGCAUAUCUAUAUCAAUGCACAUUCCUAAUCAUUCCUAAUCAGUAAUAGUAAUUUUGAAAUAAAUGAUAGAUUUAAUUUUUUUUUCUAUUUAAUCAAAAAUAUAUCAAAUAACUAUAUGGAUGCAUUUUUUUUUGUCGAUUGAAAAAAAGAGAGUUUUGUUCGUAGGCUAAAAUAUAUUAUAUUUUAGUUUUUUAAUGUAUUUAAUGCAGAUAAAAUUAUUGAGAAUAAUUUUGGUUAAAAAAUUUUUUAAGCUUACAAGAUUAA